UUUUUUUUUUUUUUUUUUACACAGCAUAAAUAAUCCCAAUAGCUUCUCAUACAAACGUGACACGGGAGCACAACUGAAUGACAAUAUAAGGCAGGAAGCAAAAGAAAAACACUGCACCCCACUGCAGCAGCAGGGCACAGCUCUGCCAUGCCAGAAACAAUUACUGAGAUGGGAAGGCAGCCAGCCUGCCCAGCCAACAGAACAACCAAAGAGCACCAAGUCCACAGCUCCAGAUCUCCUCAUUUAGUUAACUCCUCCUGAAGUUACAGGUCAAUAGUAAGAAUAGAAGGCUGUACUUGGAAAAAAAGCAUGAAUGCAAUCUUUUCCUCUUUAUGAGCGAGAACUUAGGUGCUAAAAGUUGAGGUUUCUUGCUAAUCCUUAGAGGACAUUUCAUGCUGUUACAAAACGUGCCCAUGCCUACAAGGUGCUCAGAUGCCAUGGUUACAGGCACAGUAUGGGACUGUAAAUAGCACGCCGUGACAGAGUUGCACACUCCUCCAUACUGCAGCUGGCUAAGGCACCGGGAGACCAGGCAAGUUUUUGUUAACUUCUACCCACAUUCGGCUGAUCUUUAGCACCUGGGCAGAUCACCAUUAACAUUUUGUCAUUGUUGCAUGCUCUGAAACAACUGCCCUUAAGAUCACAGUCCUGUUUACAUUUUUAUUGACCAAAACGCAAAAGUAAAUGUUGUGUCACACGACGUUCAUAAGAGUUUAAAUAAUGAACCAAUUCAACCUGGCACAUAGCAGUUCCACCAGUUAUCAGAAAGAAACAGAGCUGAGGAGUGAGCACCACUUCUUCAUGUACUUACAUGAGGACAGUGACAGAAGCUUUCCUUUGGCUGACUGCAGCUGUACGGUGCUAUUAAGUACAGGGUAAGUCCAUUGCACCCAAACAUUAUACAAGCUUGAUUAAAAAAAACAGCUGAAUAACAUUUUUAUUUGGAGAGCACACAGCAUUUGCUAACCUUCUGCCAUUUCAUUUUUUUUUCCUUCCAAAUUUAAGCUUUGUGUGUGUGUGUGUGUGUGUGGACAAAUUCACCAUAAUUUCUUGUUCUCUGCUUCCCUGAGGAGUCUGUGAAACAACAUCCCUACAAACACCAAGUGCGCUGAAGGGCAGGGAAAUAAGUUGGAAAGAACAUUUCAAGAUAUUCUUAAUUACUCUUGGUUAACAAGUAAAAUGUUUUAAGUUGAUACUAAACGAGCACUGACAUUGAUAUAAAGUGGGAAACUGGCUCUUCAUCUGAAUCUAAGCUUCCCAUGGGAAUGCUGAAAAUCUGUCUUGUUCCAUUUCAAAACAGUUUCUAUUUCUUCAGAGAAGUUUUACUCUAUGUCCUGAAGAAUUAGAGCACGUUUAAAAGAUGUGGUGCCCACAGACCAUGCAGAGCUUCAGUGCAAUGUCACACUUGAGAAAUAGAGUGAGCAACAUACACACACUGAUUCCCAAGCAGAAGAGCAGCUUGGAACAUUAGAAGCUUCUUAUCUUAGGGACCAUUGCAAACAAAAUUAUUUGGAGAAUUCAAAAACAUUCUAAACAAAAUCUUCUUGAUCAGAUAGGCCAAGAAAACUGGAACUCACCUAUCGAUAUUGGCUUUGAACUUCAGAAGCAAUUCAUAGAAAGGGCUUUUCCUAAUACUGCACAUUACACAAAGACUAAAACCACUUUGUUGGUCAUAUCCCCACAAGCACACAAACAAGCCAGAAGAGCAUUAAGCUCUGUCUUCUUUCAGGAGAAGAUUAUUCAAAUGUAUGCAAAUGCACACAUGGCAUUGGACAAAUAUGAAGACUCUAAUAACAAAACCUUGUAAUAAAGCCAAACGAGGCUACUGUCUUUAUUCUGCUUGGUGAUCUGUAACAGACCAGCUUCCCAUUGCCUUGAUUUUUAUGUAGUCCUUUAAAAACAUGAAGUCUGUGUGAUUAUAAAACUCCAUCAGGACAAAGAGGGAAUACCAGUCUGGGAGCACUUAUUCUCAUUUUGCACAAAGACAGCAAUCAACUUCUGAUUGUGGUGUACACCUUAACUGUCCAUUUAUUCACUGACACCAAUUUCAGGACAAGUUACCAAGCACAUUACGACUAGCACCUCACCAUCAGUAGAGCUGUGAAGUACUCUGUAGGCAAUGUAGUUUUACUGGGCUUGGUAUAAGGAAAAAAAAAAGAAAAUGACCAAAGCAGAUCUGCUGUCAUUUGGGACGCCACAGUCCUAAAAGGUAUACAGAGAUAAACAGUGAUAUAUGAAGCCAAAAGAAAGCCCAACCCUUAAGCAUUUUAAGCUACCUUUCUGUGAUAUUUAUUAUUCAAUUUUUCAACACUAUGCCUCUCCCCACUUCUGAAAAACAAAAUGAAUGUUGCUACCUACUGCUCUGCUUUAUCAUUAUUAAAUUAAGAUGCUAAAGCCCAAUAGGGAAAGCAUCCGUGUACCCCUUAUAAUCCACCAUCACAUCAUCUUAGUGCAGGUAUAACACCAAGCAUGGCAAGUGUAGCCAUAUGAGGUAUAUUUACUCAAGCUGGUACCAUCUGUGUUACUCGUGAGCAGUGGAGUGAGACAGAAUCAGACUGAUACACAGUCAUUUAGGGCCCUGUGUACCCUCAGCUUUCCAGGAAAGCUUCACUAAGCUCAUUUUAGAUUAAACCAGGAGACACCAACAAGUACCAGCCACCUGUUUUGGAAGGUGCUUUUUGAUUCCAUACAAUGCAUACACAAAGAAAGCAGGAAGAAAGAAAAAAGGAAAAACUUCUCACUUGCUUUUGAGCACCUUGUCCAGGGUUUCAGAUGCUUCUUAUCACAAUACAGAAGGGUUUACAUAAUUCCUCAUUGCUCCUGGAUGACUCUUAGAAGGAUGACAAAUGACCACCACCCCCAUCCUUUCAAUUCUCUGUGACUUGCAGAAGGUCACAGCUACCGGACAGAGAGGAAAAGUACAGAUUAAAAGAUUACAGCUGACAAUGCUUUCCUAAGGGGACUUCAGACUGAAGUGCAGUGACCACAGCAGCAGCUGGCCAUUGAAUCUCUCUGAUUACUUUUACAUUAACUCUUCAUCCCAAAAAUCAGCAAGCAAGAAGGAAAAGAAACUCCCUUAUCUCCAGACAUUCUCUCCUCUGCUCCAGCACAGACAAACCCUCCUCAGCACAGAGCUGUGUGAUUAAAGAGAACAGACCCUUUAGCAGCGUGGCACUGGACUUGGCCACACUUGCACAAGCACUCAUUAGAAAAAGCCCUAACCCCACGGCUGGCUCCAGAGGAAGGUACUUGAGGAUGUGGAAACUGAGGCAGAUACCUCCAGAUACCGCUGUGUAGUGUUUGUAUUGUGUGAGCAGGACUUACAGGUUCCCUGGACCAAAGAGAGCAUGUGUUGAUCUCCUAUCCCACGACUGGGGCUUUCCACUGGAAAAGAUGAGGACUCUGGCUGCCACACAAGAAUGGUUUAUGUGUUAUAGCUUAAAAUGCUUAUGUGUUUAGAGUGCCUGUCACGACAGGCCAAACAGCUUCUGCUUUUAAAGAAACAAAAGAUCACAAUUGCUUGAAACCAUCAAGACUCAGGAAACCAGUUCUGUGAUGCAGGUAUCAGCUGGAGCAGGAAAAGAAACUGCAGAGAGAGAAGCACCCAGCGCUCCAGAGAGCAGCAGCUGGAGGGCAGGCCUGGCUCAACCUCACAGCACGCGGCUGUGACACGUCUGUGCGGCACAGAGCUCCCAUCCCCUCCUGGAGGAGCAGGCAGGUUGUUCACACCGUGGUCUGAAUAAAGCUGUAUUUAUCAACUACUGCAAAAGCCAAAGUGCUCAUAGCUCCACAAGAAUUAUUAUUCUUAUCUCAACGUAAAUAAUGCCAGAAUACUUUAGACAAAAAAAUUGUUUUUUCAAAUAUUGUAAUAGGGCAUAAACUAAAGACCUAAGGCAGUUCAUACAGCCUGCCCAGCUCACUGAUCAAUCAUUUCAUUCACCACGGUCCUGUUUAAAAUGUAAUUAAACUCCAGAAAAAUCA